UGGGGAUGUAAUAUAGUUCAGUACAACUCAGUGGGUUCAAUGCUCAGUACUACAAAUGUACAUCCUAGAAAGAUAGAUGCCUAGAUAAAAAUAAUAAUAUUAAGGAAAUCAGCCAUCAAUUGGUUUCACUAUGAAUAUAAAGAUGGGCCAUAGGGUCUUCUUAUCAGAGGGAAUGCUCAGGUUGUGGACCCAAGACAUGACCUCACUUCCUUGGCAACAUGUCAAAUGGAACUUGGAGCCCUUUGUGAGCAUGCAACACAGUAGAGUGACAGAUACCUCCAGAGCUCACUUUUCCAGAGUCAGUGAACAGUAAACAUGCUGAGCUGCUUCUCAACUUCUCAAGGCAAGAGCCACAGGACUUCAGGCAGAGAAAGCAUCUUUGAACGACUUAGAAGAUGGUUCACUCCAUCUAGACGCUUCAGGCCACAUUGCAGGAGCCUCUCAACCAUCAGGGAAAACCCAGGCCAGGUCUCCCCAGGCAUGACUACCACGAACCCAGAGCCACCAAGGAGCCUGGGGCAAGUCUCCCGAAGCUCACCCGCCAGAAUCAGGAAGAUCCCAGAAAGCCCAAGAAACGUCUCCCCAGGGCCUGGCACUAGGCACCCCAAGACACUAAAGAGCCAAGAGCAGGUCUCCUUAGGCCCAGCUUCCAAGCACCAAAAGACUCCAAGGGACCUAGGGAAGAUCUGCAAAGGCCCUGCUACCAGGGGCCCAAAGCAAGCAAGGAUCCCAGUAAAGGUCUCCUCAGCCCUGACCACCAGUCACACAGAAAAAUCGAGGAACACAGGAGAAGCCUCCUUAGGCCCAACUCCUCAGGGCACAAAGACACCAAGGAGACCAAGGCAGGUCUCACCAGGCCCAGCCACCCAGUGCUCAGAGAUACCACCUAGCUCUGGGCAGGUCUCCCCAGAGCCAACAACCAGGAGCCCAGAGACCGCAAGGUUUGACACCAACGGUCCAGGUGACAGUAGCCCAGAGUCACUGAGUAGUGCAGGGGAAGUCUUCCCAUGGGAGGUCUUCCCUGGCCUAGCCAUUUGGUCCCCACAAAGACCUAGGAGCCCAGGGGAGGUCUUCCCAGAGGAGGUUUUUCCAAGCCUGGGCAUGAGAAACACCCCAAGACCUAGGAGCCCAGGGGAAGUCUUUCGAGAGGAGGUCUUCCCAGGCCUGGCCAUGAGGCUCCAACAAACACACAGGAGCCCAAAGGAGGUCAUUCCUGAGGAGGUCUUCCCAGAGUUAGUCUCCAGGCGAUCAAAGACAGAAAAAGGAAAGGUCUUCUCUGGGCUGUCAAUACGGUGCUCAGAGACAGUAAUGAACCCAGACAAGGUCCUCCCCGGCCUGUCCACCAGCCACCGAGAGACACCAGGAAGCCCAACACACGUCCACUCUGGCCUGGACACCACUAUUGGAAAUCACUACGCUGGGAGCCUGGCAGAAGACUCGCUAGUCUGGCUGGGGCAAGCAGUCACGCUGCACUCCCUCACAGAGCCUCUGAUGCCAGCUUUCCCAGAAAGCCAAACCUUCCUUGGUCCCUCCUUCCCGAGCACCACCAGGCCCUGCACCUUCGCCCAACAGGCCAAGAUGAUGGGAAGGGUUGUCUCCUUCCUCCUCAACUCCUGGCUGGAGAUGCACACCCAGGUGGACCUCCCAGCCCACUGUCCUCUGACUCAGCUGUAGCAUCCCCAACCCCACUGAGGAAGAGAGCAAGGGUGAGAGGACCAGGGUAUGUGCCUGUGGGCACCUGGGACAGGAUGGGCUGAGCAGGUAAAAAGGGCUUCCACCUGCUCUGUUGGCCCAGUCAGUGGGGGCAUACAUCAGGACUAUUUCCUGGGUUGGACUGGCAGACAGAGCUGUCUCGUGGAAGGAACAUGGACAGUUGGUGAUCUUUUCUCUUCUAACUGCAGGGCCAGCUGCAGCCCAAGCUCAAGUCCCACCGCAGAGCCGGUGUCAGCUCUACCUGCAGCUCCCUCACCAGCUCUAGCACUGAAAUGAGAACCAGCAACAAGAACCACUUCUCCACCAGCUCCAUACCUGGGGUCCCUUGUUCCACAGCUGAUGUCACUCCUGACCACCACCUGUGGCCAGCUCCUGCUGCACAGCCACCCUUCUGCUCCUUGGCUGUUGCAGUUACUGUUAUAUUUACUCAUACCUUUAAUUCCCAGUUUUCUAUAAAUAUAUUAAUUUCAAAUAUAAUCUCAGAGUUAGUUUUUUGUGAUGGUCAGGUCAGUGGCAUCAAGAAC
rnacentral:lncRNA from 1 species